rfam:Ovis aries breed Texel chromosome 11, whole genome shotgun sequence.
UUCCUGGUGGUCCAGUGGCUAAGACUCUGCACUCUCAAUGAAGAGGGCCCUGGUUCAAUCCCUGGUCAGGGAG